rnacentral:rRNA from 1 species
AGUGAACGCUGGCGGUAGGCCUAACACAUGCAAGUCGAACGGCAGCACAGUAAGAGCUUGCUCUUACGGGUGGCGAGUGGCGGACGGGUGAGGAAUACAUCGGAAUCUACUUUUUCGUGGGGGAUAACGUAGGGAAACUUACGCUAAUACCGCAUACGACCUACGGGUGAAAGCAGGGGAUCUUCGGACCUUGCGCGAUUGAAUGAGCCGAUGUCGGAUUAGCUAGUUGGCGGGGUAAAGGCCCACCAAGGCGACGAUCCGUAGCUGGUCUGAGAGGAUGAUCAGCCACACUGGAACUGAGACACGGUCCAGACUCCUACGGGAGGCAGCAGUGGGGAAUAUUGGACAAUGGGCGGAAGCCUGAUCCAGCCAUACCGCGUGGGUGAAGAAGGCCUUCGGGCUGUAAAGCCCUUUUGUUGGGAAAGAAAAGCAGCAGGUUAAUACCCCGCUGUUCUGACGGUACCCAAAGAAUAAGCACCGGCUAACUUCGUG